AUAGGCCUCAAGAUUCCAAAAGUCUAAGGAGAAUUAGAGAUACAAGGGAAAACUAAGACAUGACUAUAGACUCGAAGACCAGCAACAAAAGUCCACCAAGUGAGUAGCCCCCAUACCAUCUGGGCUGGUCCCAUACUUGAGGGGAUCCUGAGGAAUGCUCCAGUAAACUGCUAGACGUUAUUUCCUUAAAGCUUCAAGAGGAAACUAAAAUUAAAAUUAAUGGUAAACCUUGCCAAAUUCUCGUAGAUACCAGGGCUAUACUCCCUACUUUCAACCUCACUCACUCUGGAGACAGCAGAUGGGAUCCUGGGGAAACUGGCAGAAGCCAGCAAAGGAUGAGAAUUCACACCAGAGUCACCUAUUCUGGAUCUCUAUACUGUCCAGUAGAGAGAAGGAGGGAAAACUAUGUCCUUGUUUCUUUUGUUUUGUGUCCCAACAACCUGGCUUGGCUUUAUGCCUGCCUGCCACACGCAGGCUGCCAGUUCGAGUGUAUACAGAAGCUCAGUCGCGGUUUGGGAGUUGGGAGCUGCAAAAUAUGCCUGGACAGAAAUGUGAGUUGUAUUCCAUCUGCAGCAAGGGUCCCACUAACUGUUACUAGCUCUCAGAUAAAAUGUCUAAGUCUUUCUUUCUUUGGGAUAUUUUGGGAGUGGCACUGGAUCUUCAAGGAUAGUACCCCUUGCACCCUCUUUGGAGAUACCUCUUGUGUCCAAGUGUUUGUUCAAUACAGCCAAGAAUAGUUGCUGUUUGUCCUGGAUGAAAUUUGACAAGAUAUUUGAAAGGAUUUUUUUUCAGUAGCUCUAUGGCCAAAAAUUGGCCAAAUUGGAAGCAGAUAUUCAGAGCCUAACAGGAACUUUUUUUUUUAGGCCUUCUUCCUGAGCUAAACGAAACCAUGUACCCAGGGGGAAAGAAAAACAUUCCAAAGACAAACAGCUCUAAAUCUAGAACACAGGAACUACCAACCAAAUGAUCUCCCUAAGACAGACAAGGAACAACAGGAAUGACUGACUUGGAGAAUGUGAACUGGACACCAUGACCUGUGAACAGCACACAGAUAUUGAGCAAAAGUUGUGAGAACUCCCGAGCAGUAGCUGGGAGGAGCUGCCCCAUAUCACAUGCGAAGAGCUCUUAACAGAAGAGCUUUAAACAGAAAAAACGACAGACAGGAAAAUAUAAUCCCGUUAAGGAAUCUGCCUUGAUUUGUAAGACCUGAAACCGACUAGGUGAGAGACAUUUUGCAGCCCGUUCCAUCAAAAGUGCUCUGGGAUUAUAAAGGUUCAAUGCAUUGAACAUACAGCAUCACAGACACAGGAGGAACCUCAAGGAUGUCCAUCAGCCCAGGACCUUUGUCUUCCGGGAGAGAACACCUACUUCCAGGGACAGGGGAUAGACUUAACCGGGUCAAACAGCAAGAAUGUCACCAGCCACACCUGCCACCUCUCCAGUACGCAACCAUAGUGUAGCAGGAUUCUGCCACAGAGAGUCAUGACACGGAGGCUUUUCUUUCCAGGAAGCAACUUUAUUCCUGCCGACACCGCUCCGUUGGGUUCUUAGCCGAAGAACUGAGCCCCGAACGCUACGUGGCCUAGUUUUUUAAUGUAUUUUUUUCCUUCUUUGUCUCCCAUAUACGGUAACAGCCAAACAUGUAGUCUGAUUAAGUGGUCUCAUGGUACAAGGUCGUGAGGGAUGUUGUCGAGUAAGCGAAGAGCAAGGUUGCCUUGAGGUUAUUUUUUUCUUUCCUUAGAUAGGGGACCCUACCGCAAUAGCGCCUCCAUACCCAAGGGUCUCAGCACGCUAUGCCACUGUGUACUUGUUAGGACGGCCAUAACAAAAUACCACACACUGGGUGGCUUAAACAACAGAAAUGUAUUGUCUCGCAGUUCUGGAGGCUAGAAGACCAAGAUCAAGGUGUGAGCAGGGUUUAUUUCCUUUUAGGCCUCUCCUUGGCUUGCAAAUGGCCGUCUUCUUGCUGUGUGGUCACAUGGUCUUCCCUCUGUGCACCUGCAAGCCUGCUAUCUUUCUGUGUAUCCUAAUUUUCUCUCGUGAUGACACCAGUCAAAUGAAAUCAGCGCUCACUCCAACAGCUUCAUUUUAACCUAAUCACUCCUAUAGAGGCCCUAUGUCCAAACGCAGCCACAUUCUGAGGUACUGGGGGCUUAAGCCUUCAACAAAGGAAUUUCAGGGGUACACAAUUCAGCCCGUAACAACUCCCUAUGUCAGGGAUGCUUAUCCUGUUCCCUUAACUAAAUCCUAAUCAUCUUCUGCAUCCCAACUUAAACACCCCUUCCUUAAAAGAGCCUAUCCUAACGGCCUCUCACUUCCUAGAGACAAGUUCAGACCGCUUUCGAGGCACCCUUCAACUUGUACUUCUCAUGACUGUUAGCAAAUAAAUCACUGGGUAAGGAGCCGAUUGGCUUUUGUCCCUCUCUGUGAGACUUUCAUCUUUCACAGGGCAGGGAGAUGGACGCUCUUGCUCAUUCCUGCAUCCUCAGGGACUAGCCAGGGCCUGGCCCAGGCAGCAAAUGUU